ACAAAUAGGAUCGUUUUCUAUUUUUUCUUUUUUUCCUUUUUUUUUUCUCUUUUUGUUUUGGUCGAGAAGCUUCUUGGUGUAAUUGCAAUGCCACGUAGCUGCUGCUCUCAUGGCCGUCGUCUUCUCCAUUUGUACUGUUUUGUAGCUUUCUCUCUGUCUUUCACAUGGGGAUUUCGUUAACCCCAACCUCAAGGUUUAAGCAUACUGGAUGCAGAAAACCGUCCCUUCGGGGACAUCCGAUAAAUUUGGAACGAUACAGAGAAGAUUAGCAUGGCCCCUGCGCAAGGAUGACACGCACAAAUCGAGAAAUGGUCCAAAUUUUUUUUUUCUCCUUUUGCCCUUUCUACCAUAAUAUACCCUUGGUUGAUUAUAAUGGCCAUAAAAAUUUUCUGCUAACUUUGUGUUUGGAUGAGAGAUCUUGUGAGAAUUCUUUUUCCCCUGCUUAUUUGAUUUGCAAUUUGCUCUUGCAAAGUUAUUACAUUGCUCAACCAUUUACUUAUUUUAUUCCAAAACUCAUGAAGAAGAGUUUUCUCAAAUAUUUACUUCGAUUGAAAGUUUGAAACAGACCUUUAAAGGCAAACUAAUUUGAGGUUGAAUGUAUUUGUCUUAGAAAGAGGAAAACGAGGGAGGAAAGGCACUACUUUGUAUUAAUUGGGGUUGUACACUGAAAUAAGUCACUUUCAGCUACUCGUGAAAAGGUUUAAAUAUUAUUUUGGUUUCUGAACGUUUAAACAAAGUUCGAUGCUCCAAAUAUCUUUAUACUCUUUGUGUUUUUGACUCUGAGAAGGCAGACAAGUUGAAGCAAUCUCUUCCACCAGAUAAUCUGCUUUCAGUUCUUUAGUUACAGCUCUAGCUGUAAAGGGCUGGACAUCGAACCUAUAGUAGAAAUUCCACUUCACUUGCAAAACUUGGUUGCCUCUCAAAGAAAUAUUGAUGUUCGAUAGAGAGAAGAUUAGCAUGGCCCCUGCACAAAGAUGACAUGCAAAAAUCGAAAAAUGGUCCAAAUUUUUUCCCUUUUUCCCUGGUCCUAUAUCAUAUUCCCUAGAUACCCCAGUGGAUUAAAUUGGUCAUAGAAUUGUCCCUUUUUGCCCUUUGGUCCUAUAUGAUAUUCCCAAGAUACCCUUGUUGAUUAAAAUGGUUGUAAAAUUGUUCAGCUAACUUCAUGUUUUGGAUGAGAGAUAUUGUGAGUCUUUUUCCCUCUACUAACUUAAUUUGCUUUCAAUUUGUUCUUGCAAAUUUAUUAAAUUACUCAACAUUCCUUAUGCUUCUUUUCUCCAAAAUAUAUUUCAUCUAAAAAGAUUUAUUGAGAGACCUUUCAAGGAAAAAUGAGAUUUUCUUUUUCUUUAUUUUACCCUCUCCAAGUUAUUAAAGCAGGUGGAUUCUAUUGUUUUUUCAUUAUUCCACUACAUACAAAUUCUCUCUUACCCAUUAGAGAGGAAGUAUAUUUGUGUUUGGAAGAGAAAAAAUAGGAAGGGAAGAAACUACUUCGUAUCUCUUAUAUUAUUGCUAGGCUGAUUUAAAUAGUUCGAUUCUAUAUAUUUAAAAUAUCUUAUAAGAAUAAUAUCACAUCAUAUCAUAAAACAUCCAACCUUGUAAAAAAAAGAGAAUUUGAACUCAACAAAUCCACGUUGUCUCAUUAAAAUAAUUUUACUCACUCUAGUGCUUGAAUUUCAAGAAUAAUUGUUUUUCAAGAUAGAAUAGAUAAUCUUUUAGUGUAGACGAUAAGCAAGUGGGAGAGAAAAUGAAGCUAUUGU